rnacentral:misc_RNA from 1 species
AAACUGCGAUAAGUAGUGUGAAUUGCAUUUAGUGAAUCAUCGAAUCUUUGAACGCACCCUGCACUCACUGGUAUUCCGGUGAGUACGCCUGUUUCAGUAUCAUUGAAAACACACAAUCAAAACAUUUUCUUUGGUUUGAUUGGCUUUGGGUCUAUCAAAAAGUUUGGCUUGUUUCUUACAAGCCAAGCGGCCUGAAAUAUAUUGUCUGGCUAAUUGAAUCGUUGAUGAUCGCUAUUAGACUUUGGCUUUUUUAAAUGAACUGGAGUUUGAUUAACCAGUUUUAGUUUUAGUAAAAUGGUCAUUGUAAAAAAAAUCUCGAUCUUGGCUAGGUGUUUAUAGCCGAAAAUUUUUUUUUGGCUAUAACCGAAACCAAUAUAAUCACAUUUAGUUAUCGAUCUGAAAUCAGGUGGGACUACCCGCUGAACUUAAGC